GCCGACGACUAUUAUAACAAUCGCACUCGUAACGCGAAGGUCGUAGGUUCGAUUCCUAUUGCCGGCACCA
rnacentral:tRNA from 1 species